UGGCUGGGCUGGCGCUGACUGCAGUCCUGGGCUGGUUCCUGCUGUGCAGGGACUCUGCAGGGGCCAGAAGCCAGCAGGACCUCAGGGAGCCCCGGCCCCCAGCGUGCCCCCCAGGUGAGUGCAGGUCCAGCUGGGAGUGAAUGGGCACCCAGGCUGCCCCCAGUAUCCAUUUCCUCAGUCACUCCUCGGGGCCUCGCGCCUGCGGGGGCUUCAGGGGAGUCUCAGCAGCAUAAAGUCCUUCCACGGGGCACCCCAGGCUGCUGUGUCAGCCCAGACUGUGGGGCCUGGUUCAGGGUCACCUCCUGGGCUCACCUGCUCCUUUGACCCUAAGACGGCUGUGAGUCUCCCAGGAGAUGCUCUCCCAGGUCUGUGUCUCCUGUAGCUGAGGACCCCCCACACCUGGAGGAGGGCCCUGCUCUGCUCACACACCUGGUGCUCACUCUGGUCUUUGCUCCCCAGGCCACAGAUGUCUCCACAAUCCUGCCUCUCAGGUAAGCCUGUCCUCUAAGCUGGGGGCCCAGCUGUGCAGACUCUGGGUAGGGGGACUGACUCACAGCUGAGACUUCCACCCUCCUAGACAGGUUAAGGUUAGCCCUGUCUGUGCAGGAGCUGGGCAGGGACCACCACACCCUGAGCCCACCCUGUGGGAGAAACCUGGAGUCCAGCACAGGGCACAGAGUUGGCCUGGGAGC
ensembl:lincRNA